GGAAAGGCAGUAAGCCUAGCUUGAAA
rnacentral:piRNA from 1 species